CGGCCACCAGAAACGGGGGCAGUGUCUGUUACGGAGCACGGGCAGGGGCGGCUGUGGCCGCUGGCACACGGGAGCCCCAGACGCGGACCCCACUGGCUGUUGGCGGUGAUGGCGCUGCUGCAUUCGCACGUCAGUGAGAGUGGCAAUCCCACGAACAAAGAAGUGGCAUGAACUGAGCAGCACUUGUCCAACGUUGCUGUUCUGGAAACUCUCCGGGUAGGACUGUUGAAACAUGGAUUCAGGGGGUCUGGGGUGGUCCUGACGAAUUUCUGCUUCUACCAGGUUUGCAGGAUCAGCACUGUCAUUUCUUUACGGCUGUGGGUUCCAGCCGACCUCUGCUCCGAGACUUCCACCCCCCCAGCACCCACGACUCCUUGAACACGUGCCCCGUGUCAUGUGCGCUAUGACAGACUCUCAGGUCAUUACCCUGUUUCGUUCAGGACCAGGAGCUAAGGCAGCGUGGGACGGACCCCUGCCGCGUCCCCGGUAGCGCCACGCUGAGCACCAGGCCCCCUGCGUGAGCGCUCACUACUAGAUACACGAGGCCUCGGUUUCUUUCAUGGGACCAGCAUAAAGUAACUUCGAAGCAACCACUGGCUUUGACAUGCACUAAGGAGAACGGCCGAAUGAACCCCAAGACCGUAGCGUGCACCCUAACUUCAGAUGUUCUCGCCGGCACCCUCCCGGGGCCCGAACAGGUGUUUCUUAUGCUUACAGGCCCGAAUGAAAAGGGACAACGUGAGUAAGUACAACAUUUUCAUAGGCACGUACAUGCAUUUGUGUUUGCAGAUAAUGAACGAUUUGCUGUGGGCACAGAGGAUUAAUGGAAUGCGAUUCCUAAACCUGGGGUCCUGUUCUAGCAUCUUGUCGUGGUAUUUAAGGAAAUACAGAGAUAAGUUGUGGUCAAACUCACAUGGUUCUAUACCGAACGCCUCUUCUCGAAUAAUAUGUUCUGCAUCCGAUGUAAAGAAGCGACAGAACGCCCAGUGUUAACACAAUACCGCCAAGAAAGCUGCCAGUAUCAAAUUUUGGUCCUGGAUUUCCCUUAGAGUUAAUAGUGGGUGUGACUAGAAGAAAACGAAAACGAGGCUUCAGUUGCUUUUACACAACCUUCCUAUAAUGAGCCGCCACUCCGACUUUCUACCUGAGAAAGCCUGCUUUGUGCUGGGUGACGGCUGGGCUCUGGGUCCCUGCAGCCGAUCCAGCACCUCUCCCCCCGCACCUGCCACCCCAGCAUCUAAGGGUCUUUGUGCUGCUGGACCCCGACCCUCAACCACAGCCCCCGAUGUGGGGAAAUGUGUUUCCUUAUUGGUCCUCGUAAGUGUUCACGCCUUAACCACAGGUCCGGGCAUGCCGGCAGUGGUCCUGCGGCUGGAUCCUGUCCAAAUGGUUCUAACUGAAAUUUCUCCUUUGGAAUAAAUUGGGGGACUUAAACUAUUUUGGCUUUAUCACAUUGAAAGCCCUGGAGACAUUAUAGUUGAUUUUGGAACAUAAACUGUAGUAAGACUGGAGUGGAAACCAGAAUGCUGCCUGUGCUGAUAAAUGUAGCCACGAGCUUGUACGUGCAGCUGACCUCUGCAUACGUGACAAGGUCAGUGCUGGCUGACAGCAGUGCUUGCCGGAGACCACAUGAUGAGCUCAGUGGCAGAAAUGAACCACGGUUAACCGCGAUUGGGGUUUAGAAACCCAGGGGCUGAUGCUGCCUAGUUCUGCCCCAGUAACGAGGGAGCUGGUCUAGGCAGGACACUUUUUCAAACCACGGAAGGUACAGUUCCCUGCUAGGACACGGCCCUGCUGUCAUCCUGUGGCUGAUGUAUGCAACAGGACACCCCGUCCGCAUUUCUGCUUUUGCAGAACGGCACGAUGAUGGCACGUGACCCCUACGUUCAGCACAGAAACAGGGUAGCUUUGAUACCUACUCGUUACAGAUGAAGAAACAGAUGUGGCCGAACUGUUGUGGGCUGUGGUGGUGGCUGUGGCUGGCGUCAUCUGGGUCGUGUUCUGUGAAACUGAGCUGGUGUUAGUCCUGUUUGCAGAGCCUCCGGGUGCUGUGGUUGUAGCUGUUGUGGAUGUCAAGGCCGUGACAGUCUCUGUCUUGGAGACAGAAGACACUGGAGUUGUCGACUGCCUCACGGUGCUGGCGGGCUGGCUCGUGUGGUUGGAGGUCACAGCGGUGACAUUCUCUGCAGGAGGAUCGAGAAACGUUAGCACUGGGGCCAAGGCUCAGGUCAUCGACCCGGUCGCAGUGGGCUCCGUGGUCAGACACAAAAGCAAGAAGACGCUGAGCCCGCCAAUACCAGCGCUUUACAGCAACCCAGUAUCUCAGAUGGUGAACGACCCUGCGGGAUCCCAGGCUGCGUUUCCACCAAGUUAGGAACUAGUGGAAGGUAGGAAAUAACCCAGAGGACUGUGUUCCUUCAGGACGAGGACUGUGUCCGAACCAUCUCUGUCGGAACCUCGUACUGCCGUCUUGCCACAAGUAUUGUGGACGGACGGACGGACGGGUGGAAAGAGGAAGGAAGGGUUUGUCAAGGAGCGGUUUCUGUGUCACCUCCUUCCCAGGAGCAUCAGGACCAACGAGCACGAGCUGUGUGUUAACCCCCACGCGGGACAGGAGCAGAGUGCGUCUCUGGGAAGGUCAAGGUGACUUCCUGCGUGCGCUGGGACAUCACCUGCUGGCACCCAGCGUGGCUUCUUGGAAAUCAUCUCCCUCAGCCUGUCUCUGAAGGCUUCAUAACGGCCAGCACCUGGGCCAGCUCCUCGGGUCAUACCUCACGUGGAGGUCGUCAUGAAAAGUCAGCUUCAAUCGCCACGUGAUUCCACGAACAUCAGCACCAUACUACGUGUCGGGCACUGAGAUACGGUCAUUAGUACACCUCCCAGACCGAUCGGGUGGAGAGCUGGACCAGUGGCGACAAAUCAGCCUCUCACGGUGAGCCCUACAAAUGAGGGAGCAAAGUGCUGUCCCGUUAAAGCUGAAUUCAGUUAAAUUCAGCACUUGAGUCAACACAUUUUGCCUGAUUAUAGAGCAAACGUGUGUUUACUGGUUGCCUGUGUAUAAGACAUGCUAAUUAUCACGAGUGACAUGAAGAAAACCCAGUCUAAGGGCAUCUCCGCCUGGUACGGACUCAGGCGUGUAUUGUUAUUCACAUACAGCGCACGUGACGGGGUGUGCCACAGAGAGCAGCCGCAGCGAGAGCAGAAACAGCGCCGGCGUGAACGGAGGAAGAGCGCAGAGGAGCAGCUUCCAUGCAGGUCUGGGUUGGGAAGGACAGGAGGUGGCUGUCCUGCGGGAGGGAGCCGUGCACGAGGACACAUGUGCGCAGGGGUGCAGCGGGGAGCGUGAGGCGCGCACCGAUUCGCUGAGCCUUUACUGAAAGGUAACGCGUGCCAGGUGCGUACCAGACGCGGCAGAGAACACGGUACCCCAGCGUCCCCAGCUCUCACGGGUUCUGCUUGGAGCGGGAGUGAGGUGCCGAGACCAUGAGUGGGACACCCAUGGAUGGGAAAGGGGGACAGGACAGGCGGCUGGGGGCCAGACCUGCUCCCCUUGAUGGAGGGCGGUUGUGCUAAGAGCGGCAUUUAGGCUGAGCUGGGGCAGGCGGGGGCCCAGGGGCACAGUGGGGCCCAUGUCACCACGUCAGGCGCUGGGGCAGUGGCCCAGAGGUGCUAAUUCUUUGUGGGGCCCUGGCGCCCCUGCCACCCCGUGAGCGCUCUCGUGAUCUGCUACCCGCUGGUCAGAGACCACACACAAACUCUGGCUUGCAGGCCAGUCGGCCACCACCUGUUCAGAAGAGAAGUGUUCCUGGAACGCGGCCCCUGACCUGUUCACGACCCGUGUGCGGCAGCCGUCCCGCGGGGACACAGCUGAGUGUAGCGCAGACCACGCGGCCCCGGACGCCCACAGUGGCUACUCCGGCCCUUCACGCGAGAAGGGGUCUAGCUCCUCAUACAGGUUGUCGGUCAGUUAAGUGUUAACAGCGAGUAAGACUCACAGAGGAAUUUGUGGUUUCGCAUCGUAAAGCAUUACUGCGGUGAUUUUGUUAGAAAACACUGGUCUUGGCCGUCGUGCUUGUUCUCAGGCAAGUACCGGCAGCGCGUGGCUUCAGGGCAUCACGGUAUCCCUCCCCCCGGACGCUGCGUGCCAAGUGUACUGGUGGGGCUCCGGCGUGGGGACGCCUUGCGUGGCCAUGGUCAUCUCCCUGAUGUCUGUGGGUAAGCGCUCUGGGGAAGCCGUGGCCGGUGCCGACAGCACACGGCACGGGACUGCUGUGACCAAGCCGCUCCCAAAGCAGGACGCACCAACCACACGGGGUCACUGGGCUUAAGACAGCUUAUCUGUCGCCAUGCACUGGGGCGGGACCACAGUCAGUGUCCGACCCCGUCCAGCCCGCCCUCUGCCCUGACGGGACCCUCAGGAGCUGCGCUAGGCUCGCUCGCUCUGCGGCUUCUGGUUUGGCCAGAGGGAAAGAAAACCCCAUUUGCUGAUGCUCUGCAGUCUUCCUUUACUGUGUGGGGACGGACCUGACUGGAAGGAGCCCUAGAGCUGUCUGCCCUGCUCGUACGUGUGGGAUCAACGCUCAGCCCGUAUUGAUUCUGAGCCGGACGCUGUUCUCAAUAUUCCACAAACGCUAGCGACUGUCCUCAUUCCCCUGGCAGGCAGACGCCCGCUCAUCCUGUUUUACAGAUGUAAACCGAGGCACGCGGGCUCAGAAACGUGAGCACGAAGCAGUCCGAGGAGCCAGUCUGACUUCAGCGUCUGCUCUCUGUCCCUGCCUUUGGCCGACAGCUGUGCGAGUAGAGUCGCCAAGUUGAAAAGCUUUGGUCGGGGCCAGUGGCUGUCGCGGCCUCGCGGUGGCCUUCAGCAGUCGCUAAGAAAAUGCUGGUGAACAGACUCUACCCAGAACAAAGAGCACUCUCAGAAUCCCUCCGAGUUUCAGCAGACCUCAGCGGGGCACGUAGCAAACACUCCCGACGUUCCGUGCUCUACAAACCGACAGCCAGCACACCCCACGCGUGUCUCCAUGGAAACACCAAGCAGAGCUGCUCACGCCCCCACGGAUCGGUUCCUUGUUGCGGCUCGGCUAACAUGUUUGGAAAGCGGCUCUGAAAUAACGUCAUUGGAGCGAUUAUUUGCAGCCCCAGAAGGCUGUGCCGUGGAGCUUUUGCUCAAUUACAGGAGAUUUAUGCUCUAACCACGGAGCACGAGCUCGUGUGACCUGCAGCUGCCACGAGAGAGUGUAGUCGUGAACGAGCUCAAAGUGCUGCCACAAAGACACGCAGCACAAAAGCCAUCUGCUCCGGUCGGCGCAAGGGAAAAAGCAGAGACGACAGCCGUGCAGUCCGCAAGCCGUCAGGAAGUCAUCUCAGUUCCCUGGAUAAAGGGAUCAGGAAAUACUCAAUACAAACAUGUUUUCUUGCGAGACUAAAGAGAAACGUCCACUUUGCAGUUACCAAAAACACUUAUUUGUUCAAGUGGCAGAAACGGCGUCGGGACCCACGAGGUAGUUGGCGGUGGGAGCAGGGAGAAGGUGCUGAGGUUUGCUGCGUGCUGGUCACGGUACGCAGGUGCUUGCACGGUUUUAGUUUUUAGAAAAUGUCACGGGGCCUGUAUAAGAGCACUGAAAAGGGGGUUUGUUCCCUGCAGUUCACAGGGGGGAAGGCGGACUCCAAGGUUCAGGUCUGCCCCAUGUGGCAGCAGGAGGAGCUGAGCAAACCGCCACGGGGCUGUGGACAUUUCCGCUGGGGAGGCUCCCCUGCGUUCCCUUCAGCUGUCCCGCCGCCGACCGCCAUCACCGCACUAAAAUCGCUACCUGCAAACACACGUUUGUACCAAAGACUCCACAGGGACGGUAAAGUAAGCGCAUUGCAGAUUUCUAAAAACUUAACGAAAGCCUCUUUUUAAGCAAAAAAAAAUUGAAAAAAAGCUAACUAAAACUGAAGACCCACAAGAAGAUACAGAGAACCACAUGACCAUCCGUGUUCUCACAGUCCUGAUUCGUAGAAACCUGCUGAGGAGCGCCAUCCACGGUGCAGUCCGCGGAGAGACCACCAUCCUGAGUUUAUCCUGGGCUCGUGUUAUUCCUUCACACGAUUUCUAAGCCACGUAAUACGGUUUGCCACGCGCUGAAGUUUUAUACAAGUGGCUUCACGCCAGAAGUAUUGUGUUCUCACUUCUGCUGCUCAACGCUAUGUUGACUGAUUCCAUUCACGUUGAGUCCACUCCACCGCUCACGUGUUUAACUUCGGCUGCAGUUCGGUCUCACGAUGCUGCUUGUGUGUGACGAACUCCAGUCCGCCCAGAACAAGGCUCAAGGGCAAAGUGUGUUUGCACACGUGCCAGCUCUUGUGUGUUGAGGUCUAUCCCGUGGGCCUUCCCAUGCAACCAACCCCACGACGGACCCAACAUCCCACGUCCGAGAGUCUGGCCACCCGGCGCAAGCUGGUAAAGCUGCACGCACGCGUGUGUGUGUGUGUUCACUGCAGACUAGUUACAAGAAGAUACGCGCCAAUGGGGGUGGGGCUGAGAAGGCCGUGGGACGUCCAUUCCACGGAACCUAACAAAGGUGGCUAUGAAGGACACGGGGCUGCAUACACGGCGACGGGUUCACGUGCCCCCAGCUCCUUCGAUGGGCCUCCCCGCACGGUGAAGCCUGACUGCGCUUCCCUUGUGUGGACACCUGACUUAGAGACCUCCUUCAAGCGCACAUAGGGCAGCACAGGUGACGCUAUGCAACUGCUCAGGCUGGAUGUCAAGGAGGAGAGCUUCUGCCGGGCUCUCCAGGAUUUAGGGAUCGCUGGGACCACUCAGUCUGGGGGAAGCAUGCCCCCAGGUCGUGAAGACGCUCAAGCAACACCAGGACUAGAGGAACGGAGUCCUGCCAGCUGCUGGCCUGAGGCACUGCAGUGAGUCACCUGAGAAGGGAGUCCCUGAGCCCCGCUCACGCCCUCCUGAUUGCUGCCUCCAGUCCCGCGCCAGAGAAGCACCGGGCCAAGCUCCUGCCCCGUGCCCGAACCAGAGGAACCUGGAGAGGACCCAGAGUUCCAGGCUCUGUCCGCAGCCAACAACCAGGACUGCACAAAAUAGCAUUCUGCACUCGAGUCCCGAAAGCAGGUGCAGGACACCGUGCAUACACCCUUCCGGGUUUUUCGCACCGGCAAUAUUCCUGGGGAAUUACCGGGAAAGGAAGGGAGGGACGAGAUCCGUCUUUAGUUGUAUGUGCUUCCAGGCUGCCCAAGAUAUUACGCGUACCCAUUAUUAACUUGUACAGUUUUUUCAAAGCUCAUGAUGACAAAAUAAAAAUAAAGAAUCAAUUGAGAUUUAAAAAGCCUCUCAGCCCCUAUUAGGGAAGAAAAUUGCUGUAAUUUUAGACACACUGCUAACAAGUUCUAUUAUGUGCUUUUCUCGCUGACUGCUGAUUCCGAGCAGCAAAUGGGGAAAGGCGGGGCCCGGAGAGGGUGGCCCAAUGCCAACGCAAGACCCAGAGUGGAGGCCGGCAGAACAAAGCUGAGGCGCCACGCGAGCGUCCGAACAAAGACGGCUGGUGCUCGCAGCCCCUGAGGACAGAACCGUCUCCCAGGACUGGGGAGAUGAAUGCACUGCAUAUAAGCCAGUUAAGGUUUACUGACUACUCCAUACUGUGUCAUUUUACCCCACAAUAAGCCUUGGGGCCUAUGCAGGGGUUUUUACUACAGAUUUGGAAACAAACCCGGGGCACAGAAGACUCCCGUGCUCAGAGUUCGACUCGGUCAUGGUAUCACACCCCCCAUGGCGUGCUUGCAAGCUCGCCUCUCAGACACACGGGUCUCUGGCAAAUGAGGAGGAGGGAGAAAUCGUGUUUGCUAAUGUGCACAGUGGGGAUGAAGUCAGGCGUGUCUGCAUCGGUUUGUCUUCUGGGAGGGAGCCUGUGUCUCGCAGGGUACGUGGUCGUCCCCAGAGCAUGUGGGGGCAGCUGGGGCAGGACAGGAACGCAGGGUUCCCGGGAUGGCACAGCUCUGCCUCCUCCUCUCACGUGGCUGCUGUGCGGCGUCCGGGAAAGGGGGGGGGCAGUGCAAGUCCCAGGCCCGGCCUAAGCACCUGUUCACCCGUGGUCGCCGUGGUCACGGCCCCUCCCCACCAUCUCACCAGGGGACAUGCACCCCCUCCCCAGCACAGUCUCCAAGGAUGUGUGUGUCCUCCCUCACCCCGUCUGUGAGCAAAGCGUCCAGGGGCGGCUUCCUUCGCGGCUCUCCUGCUCCGCGCGCCCCCACGGCCUCUGCACAUGGCAUGUUCAUCGUCAUCAGAGCUGCCUUUUCAGUGGGAUUCGGCACCCUACGAGCAGUGUCUGGGCCCUGUGAUGCCCGCAGCUCCCACCGUACGUGGCACCGAGCCCAGCACAUAUCAGGAUCCACACGGACAUGUGCAGAGAGGACAGAGCGAGGGGACAGCAGGCGUGGGGGCCGAACCACCAGGUGCUGUGUCGGAGCCCAGGCGGGUUCCUGCACGCUGGCGAGAGCUCGCACCCUCCGCUCCUGACCGCGGCGCCUGCGCCACCAGAGCCAACACUCGCUCACAUGGCGCCUCCGACGUGCACACUCUCACGUCACUUGCACAACAUCCCUGUCAGGUAGGUGCUCCCGACAGGGAGACUGAGGCA